CAAAUAAAUAAUUCCCCCUUGUACUGUAUAGCAAUUAUUACUAUUUAACAACUUUGUGCAUUUAUGAGUCAAAUUUAUUUAUGAGGCAUUUUGUCAAGCCAGAUCAUUCCCAGAAUUGCUUUUGUCAAUUAAAAUGGUAGCUGUAUACAAUAAAGAGCUCCUGAGUUGGUACCUAAUCACCCUCAAACUCAGGGAAACCGUGGAAUCUGGAAUUCCCAGAUCAUCUACAGGUACAACCAAAUCCCUUGAGCUGCCAGAAGAAAGUGAACAGCAGCUGCGGAAACAACAGCAUGUACCAUCUGAUUCCCUGCAGGUUGCGAUCAAGGAGGAUGGUGAAAAUUCUGAAGGGGCAGCCACUUCACCAGAGUCUGAGUGGAUUAUUUCCAUCAGAGAAAAGCUCGAGCAGGCACGCCAAGAUGAUGCAGCAGGUUCAUGGGAAAGGUUGAGCAUCUAUAGAGUUCCCCACUACCUAAGAGAAGGUGAUAUCAAAGCUUAUGUUCCCCAAAUUGUCUCCCUGGGACCUUACCAUCAUGGCAAGAAACGCCUUCGCCAGAUGGAUCAGCACAAGUGGCGUUCUCUUCGCCGUGUCCUAAACCGUACUAAUCAGGAAAUACAGCUGUAUCUUGAUUCAAUGAAGGAACUCGAAGAAAGAACUCGUGCCUGUUAUGAAGGAACAAUCACUCUUAAUAGCAAUGAAUUCGUGGAAAUGUUGGUCCUCGAUGGCUGCUUUGUGCUUGAGCUCUUUCAAGGGGCUGCUGUAGGAUUCCAAAAUCUUGGCUAUGGUAGAAAUGAUCCAGUUUUUGCAAUGCGUGGCUCGAUGCAUGCUAUUCAUAGAGACAUGAUAAUGUUAGAGAACCAGCUUCCACUCUUUGUUCUUGAUAGGCUACUGGGGAUUCAACUUAAUGAGCCUGACCAGAAGGGAAAGGUUGCCAAGUUAGCGAUUACAUUCUUUGACCCUUUAAUGCCAACGGAUGAGCCAUUAACAAAGAGUGACAUGAACAGAUUGGGAUCCUCUAUGGGGCAUACAAACACCUUCGACCCUUUUUCUGAUCUUGGUGGCCUUCAUUGCCUUGAUGUUUUCAGAAGAAGUCUCUUACGCUCUGGCCCCAAACCUGUACCUAGAAUGUGGCUCAAGAAAAGGUCAAAUGCAAAUCGUGUUGCUGAUAAGCGUAGACAACAAUUAAUUCAUUGUGUAUCAGAGCUCAGAGAGGCUGGUAUUAAGUUCAAGAAAAGGAAGACUGAUCGCUUCUGGGACAUUAAGUUUAAGAAUGGGAUUCUUCGCGUUCCUCGCCUCUUGAUUCAUGAUGGAACCAAGUCCCUUUUCCUCAAUCUGAUUGCAUUUGAGCAAUGUCAUCUUGAUUGCAGCAAUGAUAUUACCUCCUAUGUGAUAUUCAUGGAUAACUUGAUCAACUCACAUGAAGAUGUGGCAUACCUCCAUUACUUUGGUAUUAUCGAGCACUGGCUUGGGAGUGAUGCAGAAGUGGCUGACCUUUUCAACCGCCUCUGUCAAGAGGUUGUUUUUGAUAUCACUAACAGUUAUCUUUCCCAUUUGUCUGAAGAUGUGAACAGAUAUUACAAUCAUAGGUGGAAUGCUUGGCGUGCAACCUUGAAACACAGAUACUUCAACAAUCCUUGGGCCAUCAUCUCACUUUUUGCUGCUUUCAUCUUGCUGGUGCUUACUUUUACUCAGACCUUUUAUGGAGCUUAUGGAUAUUACAGGCCAAAUACUUGAAUUCAGUAAGGUCCUCCUCCACCUUAUCAAUCUCUCUGUGCUGUAUGAAGAGAAUAAUUUUUUAUACAUCAAUGAUUUCCAUUUAUUUCUUCAAUUAUUGGGCUAAGAAACCUUAUUAUUUAGGCAAAAUGUGAUGGUUCACUGGAUGUCUUUGUAUCAGCAUGCAGUUAAUACAAAAGGAUGCUGCAAUGCUAUUGUUGGUUUGAAUGCUAAUUUGUACACUGAAGAAGCACCAUAUCAAAAUUGGCAAAAUAUGCCUUUUAGGGGUUACAGCUGAAACCCCAAAGGUUGACAAAUGGCAAUGCUUCAGCUCAAAUCUCAUUCUUAUAAACACAGUUCUUUUGUAAAAGUCUUAUUUGUGAUUAAUAUUCAGAGCCCAAGAAUUUUGUGGAGC